rnacentral:lncRNA from 1 species
GAGCGCAAGCCAGCCCUGGAGGUCCCCUGGGUGGCCUUUCUGCAAACCAGAGCUUUGCUGCGGGGCUCCCGGGCGGGAUGGAGUCAGGUGCAAUCUCGCAGGUGGCUAUCUUCUUCGAGAGUCAGCCGGCAGUUUGUCAAACCCGCUGCAGGACCCGCGGUCACCCUGCCCUGGUGCGAUUUUGGCUUGUCCUACAAGGCAUCUGCAGGUGUAGGGAGAUGGCAGGAGCCUGGCUGGACACCUGAAGCUUUCUUCUAAAAUUGGAGGAUGAGGAAAAGGAAGAGGGCGAAAAGAAAGCGUUACUAAUAAAAUUAUCUUUGACAAGGCAAAGAUACCAUUUAAAAAAAAAUCCCCCUUUUCAGUUUUAAUCAGAGCUAUUAAAAGAAAAGCAAAAGGAAACAGAGAUGUUUUCUUGCUCUGAGACCUGCGAAGCAGAAAACAAACACUCCACUUGCCGGCAUUGUUAUUGUUGUCAUAAUCAUGCUUCUGCAGGGUAGUGUCAGGAAACGCUAAGGGUAACCUGAGGCAGACCGGGAGGGCGGGGCACAGUGAAGAAAUUAAAUUAAGUCGCCCGGCUCCCUGGGCAAAAAGACUCUAACGUCAAAAGCUGCUGCAUUUUCUUUGCAACCUGUGGGAGGAAGGAUGGAGGCCAAGGCAGCGUUUCCAGGUCCAGGUCCUCGAGCGACUUGGGGGAGGGGAAGCAGCAGUUUGCCUGGGCGCUGAGACCUUUCACCAAGGGGGAAAAAACCCCCAAACUUUAAUGCAAUUUCCCUGGAAAUAUACAGGUAACUGAGCAGGGAGGAGAGCUUGGUGCCUGUCAGGGGCGUCCUGGCGGAAUUUAAAAGGCAUAUAAAUUCCUUAGGGAUCGGGAAUAUAUAUUUCUUUUAAAUUUGUUUGGGCCAAAGAACCUUAUCGACAAGCUAAUUAAACAGAUUUUUGCAGAAAGUAUAAGAUUUGUAUGACCUCCAUAACCACCUUUUGGCCUUUGGUAACUUUUUGACGCCUAAAAAAACCCCCAAUUAAUCCAUUGUGACUUAUCUUACACUUGGGAAAUGGCCUGUCUCAGCUGGCUUAGCCUACGAAAUUUUUUUUUUUUCACCGAGUUUUAUAUUCUUUGAGUUUAUUUUUCAAAGUUGUCCAAGGAUAGUACGUUUAUCUUUCAGUGAGAUGGACUUUCCUCAGCCUGUUUCUUUCCCCUGAAAGGGGGUUUCUGCUGCCCUUAUUUGGUUUCUGGGACCCCACUGGGAAGGGUUUCCAGGUCCUCUGACAGAUCCUGGUAGUGAAAGAGGUCACCUUCUCUCUGAGGCUGAGCUGUGUUGGACCCAGUGCCCCGCAGGGGUGCCCUGACCCUCGGGGUCCAGGCCUGAGGUCUAGUGACUGAAUAGGGAAAGCUUUGAUAGAGCAAGGAGGCUUGCUGUGCUUCUCGAAGAAAGCUAUUUGAGGACUUUCUCAGAUUCCCUGGGAGUGGGUAGUUUCACAGUGUCAAGUUCCUGCAAGAUAUUUGAAACACAAAUUGACUCUUUUAGAACCAAGGGAGGCCUUUUCCCCCCUCUUAGGUGAGAAGACCAUUCUACCUGCAAGUUCUGAGUUUCAUGUUGGCAGCUUGGAGGUUUUCUCCAUUUAUGUAACAAGCUUACUCCGCAGCCCCCAAUGCCCCCCUCCCCCCAAGGAUUCUAAAGUACCUGUGUUGUCAUUUGUUCUUUUCCCUAAAGGAAAGCAAUGCCAGAGAGCCAAGCAGGCCUUCUUGGUCAGUGCAAAAACCAGAUUGAUGGGGGAACAAAACAAUCAGAUAGGAAAGCUCUUUUGGCUCCACGUUUUGAGCUUCUGGUGAGUAGUUAUCGUUUAUGGGCACAAGGAAAGGCUGAAAAGAAUUGUGGAAUAAAGACACUUCCCAGGCUGUGAUCAGGUUCGUGUUGGAGAAGCCGUGUCCUGAUUUAGAGGACCAGGGCGUUUCCAUAGUUUGACAUGUCUCUUAGCUGAUUCCCGUGAGAUGAAAAGCCUUCUUGUUGAAGGUGUCAGAGAUCAGAGGUGGUUUCUGCAGGGUACAGCGAGUCAGUUUCUAGGAUGUCUCUAGGAAAGCUGUCCUCACUGAGUAAGUGUGGUAAUGGGGUCACCUUCAACACUCCCAUGAAGGGACCCACAACCAGGCCUGUCCUCUGAGUGUGUCAUUUGAAACCUCCAUCAUCCACGGAUCCAUCAUCAUCCAGCGAGUCUGUGCCACAUUCAUUGAUAAUCAUUUUCGGUUACUAUUGCUAAUAAUAAUAAUAAUAAUAAUAAUAAUAGGAGUUCCUGUCAUGGUGCAGCACAAAGUAAUCCGACUAGGAAGCAUGAGGUUGCAGGUUUGAUCCCUGGUCAUGCUCAGUGGGUUAAGGAUCCGGUGAGCUGUGGCGUAGGGGGCAGAUAUGGCUCAGAUCUGAUGUGGCUGUGGCUGUGGUGUAGGCUGGCAGCUGUAGCUCCGAUUGGACCCCCAGCCUGGGAACCUCCAUAUGCCGUGGGUGCUGCCCUAAAAGGCAAAUAAUAAUAAUAAUAAUAAUAAUGAUAAUAGGUGGCGUUUUAGGACUUAAGAAGCCCA